UUUUCAUAUAAUCAAAAUUUCAGUUUUUAACAAGUGAUAGCCUAUGACACAGUAUACUAAAUAAACUUUUAUUUGAAAUGAUUCCAUUGCCUUUACUGUUUCCACUUUCCGAGAACACUUCGACACAAAAUUCUGAAAUGCAUUGCAAACGCUGUUUGUUUAUGUGGUGUUGAUGAUUUUCUUUCAACAAUAUUGGUUUAACGACUGAAUUAGUAUGAUUUUACACUUCAUUUUAAUAUAUUUAAUAAGAUUCAUGACAAAAAUAGCGGUGCAAAUUGAAAAAUAUCUUAUUUUUUUGUUUUGUUUUGUUUUGCAAACGCAGGUUGGUAUUUCUUGAGCAAUAGGAAAUGGCAAACGCAGGUUGCGAGAAUAUUCAAAGGAUAAUGAAACGCACACUGUACACAUUUUUGAAAGUCUUCUAAAAUAUGAUAUGGUUAUAAAUACGAAAAUAUUAACUAUUCAACACAAUAUAUGACUACGGAACUUCAAUUGAGGACAUUUAAACAGAGCGGAAAUAUGCUUAUCAACACAUUAAGUACUGUUACAAGUAUAUUGAACCACAACGUGCGUUGCCUCCUUUAAGCGGACCUCGAAUGACGCUAAACGCGCCAAAACUCACGAAAAUCCCGUGCAUUAGUAAACACGCAUGUUUAUUGAACUGUGACGAAAAGAAUAGCAGAUAGUGUGUCACAUCCAAUCACUUGCGUUUCAUAUCUCUUUUGGUGUAGUCUUUAAAACUUUAUAAAAACAUUUUAGAAAUAUAUUUUAACAAAAAGUAAUUCUUUCAUUACAGAAACAUGACGCUCGUGUGUGAAAUCUGUGGAAAGACAUUUAAAUCGAAGUGGGGGUUAAAGCUUCAUGAUAAGCGCCACAGAGGGACUGGACGAUUCGCCUGUUGUGGAAAAACAUUUUACACAAAACAGGCGUUCAACAGACACAGAUGCAGCAUUCAUGGUGUUGAAAAGCCGUUCCCCUGUGAACAAUGCGGCAAAAAGUUUUCAACCAAAGAUGACCUGAAUCGUCACGUCCGGAGGGAGGUUGCUGCAAAGCAAUUUACCUGCUCAAUUUGCAAUGCAACGCUCCGGGAGAAAAUUGACCUUCAGGCCCACCUUGCCACCCACAAUGGAGAGAAAAACUUUGCUUGUGAUAUGUGUGAAAAGAGGUACAGGCACCGCAGUAGUCUAUCAAAGCACAGAUCUGCAAAGCACCGGGCCUAGUCAUCUGUUGCAUGACGAUGAUAAGACCAAGAAUUAUUUUUAAUUCUUACCAAUGUGCCGUGGUUAUUUUCUUAAUUAUUGAAAAUACAGACUGUCAUACAAUAAUAUAUAGUAUUACGCGUGUUUUUGCGUCUUAAACAUUGUGUUUCAUAUCGUUUAUCUUGUGUUGUUUUGUUUGAUAUUCCUGUUUUUAAUAAGAUUAUUGUUGUAAUAUUUAUCAUUCUAAUUUAAAAUGAUUAUGAUAAUGGUUGAUCUCAUACAAAUUAUUGUGUUCAUUAUUGCUCAUCUGUGAUUACUGUUGAUCUCAGCCCAUGAAUUGUGAUUUAUAUUGAUUAUCUGUGAUUAUUGUUGAUCUUAUCAAAAUAAUUGUAAUUUAUGUUGAUUAUCUGUGAAUUUUUUAUCUUAACCUAUUAAUAGUGAUUUAUAUUAUCUGUGAUUAUUGUUGAUCUUAUCAAAAUCAUUGUGAUUUAUGUUGAUUAUCUGUGAUUAUUGUUGAUCUCAACCGAUUAAUUGUGAUUUAUAUAACCAGUGAUUAUUGUUGAUCUUUUCAAAAUCAUUGUAAUUUAUGUUGAUUAUCUGUGAUUAUUGUUGAUCUUUUCGAAAUCAUUGUAAUUUAUGUUGAUUAUCUGUGAUUAUUGUUGAUCUUUUCAAAAUCAUUGUAAUCUAUGUUGAUUAUCUGUGAUUAUUGUUGAUCUUUUCAAAAUCAUUGUAAUUAAUGUUGAUUAUCUGUGAUUAUUGUUGAUCUUUUCAAAAUCAUUGUAAUUUAUGUUGAUAAUCUGUGAUUAUUGUUGAUCUCACCAUAUCCGCUGGAAUAUACAUUUGAGCCGCGCUCUGUGAAAAGGGGGUUUAAUGCAUGUGCGUAAAGUGCAGUCCACAUAGGCUAAUCAGGGACGGCACUUUCCGCUUUUAUGAUAUGUUUUGUUAAAAGAAAGUCUCUUCUGAGCAAAAAUCGAGUUUAUCGGAAAGGUUUGUCCCUAAUUAGCCUGUACGGAAUGCACAGGCUAAUAUGUGACGACACCUUACGCACAUGCAUUAAACCCCCUUUUCACAGAGCGAGACUCAUUUGUAAUCUGCGAUUUUUGUUUAUCUAUUUCGAAUCAAUAUGAUUAAAAUAUAUUUUUGGUGAGUUAGCUUUUUGUCUCAUUGGAAUCAUUGUGCGAAUUGUCAACAAUUACAUGUAAAUCUGUAAUUCCUUCUCAAGUUGCACAUAGGCCAGUUUAAUGUUUUGCGUAUAAGCUAUUAUUGCGAUACGGGAUAUUCUUUGCAGCAAUAAAACAAUUAAUCUGCA